UUUACUUUGUUAAAAUCAAGUUAUUUCAAUAAUAUAUUUAGUGCUAAUCCCCUCAAUCCAGUUAGUCUCUGCUCAGGUCAGAGUUCUCAAUUAUCAAAAGUGACCAUAAGAUGAAUAGUCACCGAGUUUAAGAGAAUAUUUCUAGCGUUUCACCUUAUAAUUAUCCGAUACAUGUUUUCUUUUAUUUUUCUUCUCUUUGCAAUAUAUGUUAUUGGUCAAAUUUCCUCCCAUGUUAGGUACUUUUGUUUUUGGCGUUUAGCUAUGGAGGUGCCGAGGUGGUACUACUAUAUAUGAUGUUUCAUGUAUUAAGUGCAAUCUAUGUUCCCACCCUAUAAGAGAUUAGCUUGGUUAUGUUUCGAAACGGUCUUACUUUCGAAAGAUUAAAUGGAUAAAGAUGGCUUUUCUUACUUUAAAAGAUAAAUUAACUUAUCAUUUUUUACGACUUACUUAAUUUGUUGUUUGUAUUUAUUUUGUUAUUUUUCAGAUUUUGGUUCUAUGGAUUUACUACAAACUAAUCAAGCGUUUAUGCCAAACUUGAAUGACAACAAAAUAGAAGUUUUAAGCUUGCAAGUUACUUGUAACGCCUAUGGAAGGAAUGGUCUACACCACAGUACUGUUCAUGGAGAAUGAUUUAGGUGAUUUCGUUAGGCGAGAAGGAUGGAUGUUAUGUUGUUGGAAAAGCAGUGUUGAUACCCUUUAUACUCCAAGAUCUGAAGGCGAAAGUUUGUUCCCUUCAAUGUUAAGUCCUUCUCUUUUAAUGGAUUGAAGAGUGCAAUAAGGAAUUUUAGACCUAACAGAGGAAGGAGAGGAAAGAAGAUGUGUCUAAGCUUUUAAAUUUUAGAGGAACACUUCAAGGGUCCAUUGAAAUGUGUUGGAGGAUACAAUACUGGAAGGGUCUUGACCUCUUAUUUGAGUAUCAAUCUAUAUGUGUUUAUGAGAAGCAUGUGCCUUUUUUUAUAUACCUAUUAUUUUUAUUUAGCAUUGCAAUUCUUCUGAGAUUUUAAUUUUCUUUGUUUUUGUAUCAAAUUGAUGUUCUUAGAAAGAGGCUUGAGGCUAACAAA